rnacentral:tRNA from 1 species
GGAGGGGUGGCUGAGCGGUCUAAGGCAGCGGUCUUGAAAACCGCCGUCGGGCUUGCCCGACCGUGGGUUCGAAUCCCACCCCCUCCGCCA